UACUCCUACGGGAGGCAGCAGUGGGGAAUAUUGGACAAUGGGCGAAAGCCUGAUCCAGCAAUGCCGCGUGAGUGAUGAAGGCCCUAGGGUUGUAAAGCUCUUUUACCCGGGAUGAUAAUGACAGUACCGGGAGAAUAAGCUCCGGCUAACUUCGUGCCAGCAGCCGCGGUAAUA
rnacentral:rRNA from 1 species